AUCCAGCUGACAAGUCCCGAAUAGGACGAAACAUACGUCCUGGAU
rfam:Schistosoma mansoni, Puerto Rico, WGS project CABG01000000 data, contig: 0194